CUUAGUAAUUUUUCUUUUCCUUAUCACCAAAUCACACUCACAUUUGAAUACCCUCACUUUCGCCAUCUGAUCAGAAAAAAGUUUCACCCCUCACCUUCGCAAAUCACCUUCGAAUUAAUUCUUCAAAACCCUAACCCUAACACACCCACACACUCACACUCAUUCUCACCAUCACUCACCACCCCCACCACGCACCCUUUCACACACACACACCCAGAUCCGAGAGAAAGAGUGAACCAGAGGGAGGAGAGGAGGACACGGAGAUGAGAGAGCGCGAUCGAGAGAAUGGAGAGUGAGAGGGGGUCACCGCCGCAACGUCGCUGCAGCCGCCGCCAUUGCCGUCGCAGAGCAGGGAGCCCGGAGGGGAGAAAGAGACGAUUUGCAGACAAGAUGGAGAGAGAGGACGAAGAUGCGAUGCAAGAGAGGAGGCUGUUCCGCCGUGCACUCUCGUCGCUCCUGGGGUCGAUUGAAGCCGCCGCCGCAACUAGGGCUUGCCGUGCUCCUGGGGUCGAUCUCUGCGCUUCUCAUCGUUGUCUCUGUGCUCACGUCGUCGAUUAGAAAGGGAGCUCAAAGAGUUAGGUGUGACACUUCCAAAGGACGCAUUCGAACUGAUUUUUGUUUUCCUCCAAGAGUGGGACAAACUCCACUUUUGCCCAAAAUUUCAGCCACGAGGCUGCUGGACAUGUAAUUUUGAAUCUUGGCAAAUAGACAUUCUGCACAUAGGAAGCUGCAAUACAUAUCAAAGUUAGAGAGAAGUGUAACUUCAUUUCAGGAUAAUAUUGAGGAUGAUAAUAAAGAUUAAGCUGAUUAUUAUUGUGGUUUAUUGGCUAAGAUAGAGUAGUGUUAGGAAUGGAUACAUGUAUGGUUGACUAAUGCCUUUUAUUAGAAGAUACUUAUGUAAGAUAUAAUAUUUUAGUUUUUCGUAGAGUAUUAGUAGUAAAUUCUAAAUGUAUCAUGAUUAUUUUGGUAUGACUAUGCUUACUUUAGUAUGAGAUGUAUGAAUAUUC